rnacentral:rRNA from 1 species
GACGAACGCUGGCGGCGUGCUUAACACAUGCAAGUCGAACGGAAAGGCCCUGCUCUUGUGGGUUGCUCGAGUGGCGAACGGGUGAGUAACACGUGAGUAACCUGCCCUUGACUUUGGGAUAACUUCAGGAAACUGGGGCUCAUACCGGAUAGGAGCUCCUGCUGCAUGGUGGGGGUUGGAAAGUUUCGGCGGUUGGGGAUGGACUCGCGGCUUAUCAGCUUGUUGGUGGGGUAGUGGCUUACCAAGGCUUUGACGGGUAGCCGGCCUGAGAGGGUGACCGGGCACAUUGGGACUGAGAUACGGACCAGACGCCUACGGGACGCAGCAGUGGGGAAUAUUGCACAAUGGGCGGGAGCCUGAGGCAGCAACGCCGCGUGCGGGAUGACGGCCUUCGGGUGGUAAACCGAUUUCGCCUGUGACGAAGAGUGAGUGACGGUAAUGGGUAAAGAAGCACCGGCUAACUACGUG